UGGCUCAGGAUGAACGCUAGCUACAGGCUUAACACAUGCAAGUCGAGGGGCAGCAUGGUCUUAGCUUGCUAAGGCCGAUGGCGACCGGCGCACGGGUGAGUAACACGUAUCCAACCUGCCGUCUACUCUUGGACAGCCUUCUGAAAGGAAGAUUAAUACAAGAUGGCAUCAUGAGUUCACAUGUUCACAUGAUUAAAGGUAUUCCGGUAGACGAUGGGGAUGCGUUCCAUUAGAUAGUAGGCGGGGUAACGGCCCACCUAGUCUUCGAUGGAUAGGGGUUCUGAGAGGAAGGUCCCCCACAUUGGAACUGAGACACGGUCCAAACUCCUACGGGAGGCAGCAGUGAGGAAUAUUGGUCAAUGGGCGAGAGCCUGAACCAGCCAAGUAGCGUGAAGGAUGACUGCCCUAUGGGUUGUAAACUUCUUUUAUAAAGGAAUAAAGUCGGGUAUGCAUACCCGUUUGCAUGUACUUUAUGAAUAAGGAUCGGCUAACUCCGUGCCAGCAGCCGCGGUAAUACGGAGGAUCCGAGCGUUAUCCGGAUUUAUUGGGUUUAAAGGGAGCGUAGAUGGAUGUUUAAGUCAGUUGUGAAAGUUUGCGGCUCAACCGUAAAAUUGCAGUUGAUACUGGAUAUCUUGAGUGCAGUUGAGGCAGGCGGAAUUCGUGGUGUAGCGGUGAAAUGCUUAGAUAUCACGAAGAACUCCGAUUGCGAAGGCAGCCUGCUAAGCUGCAACUGACAUUGAGGCUCGAAAGUGUGGGUAUCAAACAGGAUUAGAUACCCUGGUAGUCCACACGGUAAACGAUGAAUACUCGCUGUUUGCGAUAUACAGCAAGCGGCCAAGCGAAAGCGUUAAGUAUUCCACCUGGGGAGUACGCCGGCAACGGUGAAACUCAAAGGAAUUGACGGGGGCCCGCACAAGCGGAGGAACAUGUGGUUUAAUUCGAUGAUACGCGAGGAACCUUACCCGGGCUUAAAUUGCAGAUGAAUUACGGUGAAAGCCGUAAGCCGCAAGGCAUCUGUGAAGGUGCUGCAUGGUUGUCGUCAGCUCGUGCCGUGAGGUGUCGGCUUAAGUGCCAUAACGAGCGCAACCCUUGUUGUCAGUUACUAACAGGUUCUGCUGAGGACUCUGACAAGACUGCCAUCGUAAGAUGUGAGGAAGGUGGGGAUGACGUCAAAUCAGCACGGCCCUUACGUCCGGGGCUACACACGUGUUACAAUGGGGGGUACAGAGGGCCGCUACCACGCGAGUGGAUGCAA
rnacentral:rRNA from 1 species